rnacentral:rRNA from 1 species
GAUGACGCAUUUCGGUGNGNAAACUCCUUUUAUAUGGGAAGAUAAUGACGGUACCAUAUGAAUAAGCACCGGCUAACUCCGUG